AUUGAACGCUGGCGGCAGGCCUAACACAUGCAAGUCGAACGGCAGCACAGAAGAGCUUGCUCUUUGGGUGGCGAGUGGCGGACGGGUGAGUAAUGUCUGGGAAACUGCCCGAUGGAGGGGGAUAACUACUGGAAACGGUAGCUAAUACCGCAUAACGUCGCGAGACCAAAGUGGGGGACCUUCGGGCCUCACACCAUCGGAUGUGCCCAGAUGGGAUUAGCUAGUAGGUGGGGUAAUGGCUCACCUAGGCGACGAUCCCUAGCUGGUCUGAGAGGAUGACCAGCCACACUGGAACUGAGACACGGUCCAGACUCCUACGGGAGGCAGCAGUGGGGAAUAUUGCACAAUGGGCGCAAGCCUGAUGCAGCCAUGCCGCGUGUAUGAAGAAGGCCUUCGGGUUGUAAAGUACUUUCAGCGGGGAGGAAGGCGGUGAGGUUAAUAACCUUGCCGAUUGACGUUACCCGCAGAAGAAGCACCGGCUAACUCCGUGCCAGCCGCCGCGGUAAAAC
rnacentral:rRNA from 1 species